CAGUAGCCGCGGGAAUACAGAGGGUGCGAGCGUUAAUCGGAUUUACUGGGCGUAAAGCGUGUGUAGGUUGUUGUUCAAGUCAGUUGUGAAAUCCCUGGGCUCAACCUGGGAACUGCUUCUGAGACUGAACGACUAGAGUACGGUAGAGGGUGGUGGAAUUUCCGGUGUAGCGGUGAAAUGCGUAGAUAUCGGAAGGAACAUCAAUGGCGAAGGCAGCCACCUGGGCCUGUACUGACACUGAGACACGAAAGCGUGGGGAUCAAACAGGAUUAGAUACCCCCGUAGUCCCUGUCUCUUAUAC
rnacentral:rRNA from 1 species